rnacentral:misc_RNA from 1 species
GUGCUUCGUCGCGUUUACCGUGCUGUGCUGGUCGGCAACGGCCUCCUUUCUCUCUUUUUGGCUCACCAAGUUUAUGAAAUCUUUCCAAACUCUAGUACUCCUCUCGCUUCCCUAUUCAAUCUUUCUCUUUCUAAUUUCAUUUUUGUUAUGGAAAAUUAAGGAAAUCUUUUCCAAAUUCAGUAGCUGGCUGCAGAUUUUGAGAUUCCUGUUCUCAUUCUCCCCUUUUUUUUCCCAGUUGAUUGCUCAAAAAUCAAAAUUGCUGGUAACGAUGAGGGACUUUCGCGUUUGGGACUUUUAGUGUAUUGUUUUGGGAUCCCAUCAAUUGUACUGAUGGUGACUUCGAUUGCUGAAGGCUUUUUAAUAACCCAAUCUUAGUUCAUCUUGAAUUUGAUAUAAGGGCAAGUGUAUAUAGAGGAUAUUCUUGUGUAAUUGCUUUCAGACAUUACUGUGAGUUUGGUUUUGCUGUGUGGGGUAAAAAAUGGUUGCAAAUUCUUUAGCUCCGGUUUCAACAUGCCCUGUUGCGUUAUCUUCUUCAUUGAUUAUUGUUCCGCCUGGUUCUUCAAGCUUCUUGCCUUGUCUUCCAUUGAGGCAACGAAAGCGGCUCAUGCGGGUAAGAGCUAUGUCAGCAGAUGCAGGACAUGGCCAAGCUGCUUCUUCUUCCUCUUCUUCAGAGAAAAAGAAUCCACUUGCAGUUGUUUUAGAGGUUCCUCAAAGUAUUUGGAGGCAAACGUUGAAGCCAUUGAGUGAUUUUGGGUUUGGAAGGAGGAGCAUUUGGGAAGGUGGGGUGGGUUUGUUUCUUGUGUCAGGUGCAGUCCUCCUUGCUCUUAGUUUGGCUUGGUUGAGGGGUUUUCAGUUACGCUCCAAGUUCAGGAAGUAUGUGGCUGUAUUUGAGUUUGCUCAAGCUUGUGGUAUUUGCACAGGAACCCCAGUUAGGAUUAGAGGGGUAACUGUUGGCAAUGUCAUCCAAGUUAAUCCUUCCUUGAGAAGUAUUGAAGCAGUUGUUGAGGUUGAAGAUGAUAAGAUAAUCAUACCUAGAAAUUCGCUGAUUGAGGUGAAUCAGUCAGGUCUUCUUAUGGAAACAUUGAUUGAUAUUACCCCUAAAGAUCCAAUUCCAUUGCCUUCUGUGGGACCUCUCGAUGGUGAAUGUGUUAAAGAAGGUUUAAUUGUAUGUGAUAGGCAGAAGAUAAAGGGGCAUCAAGGAGUAAGUUUGGAUGCAUUGGUUGGGAUAUUCACCCGGCUCGGACGUGAAAUGGAGGAAAUUGGUGUUUCUAAAAGCUAUUCAUUGGCUGAGCGUGUUGCUGCUGUUAUUGAAGAGGCAAAGCCACUGCUUACAAAGAUUCAGGAAAUGGCUGAAGAUGUUCAACCUUUGCUAUCUGAGGUUCGUGAUAAAGGUCUCCUUAAGGAAGUUGAGAAUUUGACCAGAAGCCUAACACAAGCCUCUGAAGAUCUGAGAAAGGCACAUACAUCAAUUAUGACCCCAGAGAACACUGAGCUGAUUCAGAAGUCCGUAUACAGUCUGAUAUUUACUUUGAAAAACCUUGAGAAUAUAAGCUCUGAUAUUCUUGGAUUCACGGGUGAUGAGGCUACAAGAAAGAACUUGAAAGCACUUAUCAAGUCUCUCAGUAGGAUGUUAUGAAGACGAGUGAAAGAUGAAAAUAGCUCGGUAGGUUUUAAGGUUGAUUAGAUGCUGGAAAUGGUUUCUUUCAAUAUCAAAGAGAAGAGAAACCAAUUCUGGAUCUUACAGGUCUCGAUUUUGAAUAGAGGGUGCUUCUUGUAUUCUUUUGAAUCAAAUUCUGUUGGAUGUUCAGAGAAGCUUUUCAAUAGAAGCUCCCUCUAUUCAAAAUCGAGACCUGUAAGAUCCAGAAUUGGUUUCUCUUCUCUUUGAUAUUGAAAGAAACCAUUUCCAGCAUCUAAUCAACCUUAAAACCUACCGAGCUAUUUUCAUCUUUCACUCGUCUUCAUA